AUUAGCCGCGUGAUGCUGCGAAAAUAAAAUUAUUUUUAUAAUAAAUUUUAUUUUUUUUAUAUUUUUAUAUAAUUUUAUAAGUCUAAUUAUUAAUUAAACAAAAAUUAUAUAAAAAUAAUUUAGUAGUUAAAUUUAUUUAAAUAAAAGUCAUUAAAAUUGAUAUAUGCGCAAAAUAAAUUUAUAUAAUAAUUUAUUUUAUAAAGAUAUAUAUGAAAAGAAUUUGAGAUAAAUCUAUCAAAAUAAUUUAAAAAAAUCAAUAAAUAGAAGGAAAAUAAAAUUGUAAAUGAAAUUGUUUAAUAAAAUUAAUUAUAUAUACACAGAAAUACACUAUAUUUCUAAAAUUCUACUCCUAAAAUUUAAAUUCUAUAUUUUUUUUAUACAACGAUAUUUUACGUGAUUUAAAUUGUAUCUAUCAGUUUAGAUUUUAUUACGUAAUUUAUUAUGCAUAUUAUUAAUAAAAGUAAUUAAUUAUAUUAUAAUUUAAUUAAUUAUUAUAAUUUAGAAUUUAAAAUUAAAAUUAUGAAUAUUAUAAGUUAAAAUUAAAAUUUACAAUUAUUAUUUAAAAUUUAAAAUUUUAAAAUUUCAAAUUUUGAAAGUAUCAAAACUUUAAAUUUUCAUAUCAAAAUUUAAUUACUAAUAAGCUGUUAUACAAUUUAUUAAUAAAUUGCGUGUGCGUGUGUGCGCGUGUGUGUGCGCGCGCGCGUGUGUGCGCGUGUGUGUGUGUGUGCCCGCGCGCGCGCGCGUGCGUGUGUGCGCGUGUGUGUGGAGAGAGAGAAUGAAGUGGAGGGUUGGGGGAC
rnacentral:lncRNA from 1 species